CGCCUGUUUUUCAAAAACAUGUCUUUUUGUUAAUUAUUUAAGGUCUGGCCUGCUCCAUGAGUAAUUAAAUAGCCGCAGUAUUUUGACUGUGCAAAGGUAGCAUAAUCAUUAGUUUUUUAAUUGAAAGCUGGAAUGAAUGGUCGGAUGAGGAAGUAACUGUCUCAUUGUAAUUUCUAUAGAAUUUUAUUUUUGAGUGAAAAAGCUCAGAUUUUAUAAAAAGACGAGAAGACCCUAUAGAGUUUAAUGAGUAAAAACAUGUUUAAAUUUAGGCUUUUAUUUUUUGGUGUUUUAUCUCAUUUAGUUGGGGUGACUUAAGAAUUGGAUGAACUUCUUUAUAUAAAUACACUGAUUAGUGAAUGAUUGAUCCUUUUAUAGAGAUUAAAAGAUUAAAUUACCUUAGGGAUAACAGCGUAAUGCUUUCAGAGAGUUCUUAUCGAUGAAAGGGAUUGCGACCUCGAUGUUGGAUUAAAGUUAAUUUUUGGUGCAGAAGCUAAGAUAUUAAGACUGUUCGACUUUUGAAACUUUACGUGAUCUGAGUUUAGACCGG
rnacentral:rRNA from 1 species